GACGUAGGGUCCGAGCGUUGUCCGGAAUUAUUGGGCGUAAAGAGCUCGUAGGCGGCUUGUCACGUCGGGUGUGAAAGCCCGGGGCUUAACCCCGGGUCUGCAUUCGAUACGGGCUAGCUAGAGUGUGGUAGGGGAGAUCGGAAUUCCUGGUGUAGCGGUGAAAUGCGCAGAUAUCAGGAGGAACACCGGUGGCGAAGGCGGAUCUCUGGGCCAUUACUGACGCUGAGGAGCGAAAGCGUGGGGAGCGAACAGG
rnacentral:rRNA from 1 species